GAAUAUUGGACAAUGGGCGAAAGCCUGAUCCAGCCAUGCCGCGUGAGUGAAGAAGGCCCUAGGGUUGUAAAGCUCUUUUAAUCGUGAAGAUAAUGACGGUAGCGAUAGAAAAAGCUCCGGCUAACUCCGUGCCAGCAGCCGCGGUAAUACGGGGGGAGCGAGCGUUGUUCGGAAUCACUGGGCGUAAAGCGUGCGUAGGCGGAUUGACAAGUCAGAAGUGAAAGCCCAGGGCUCAACCCUGGAACUGCUUUUGAAACUGUCUUUCUAGAGUAUGGUAGAGGUUGGGAGAAUUCCUAGUGUAGAGGUGAAAUUCGUAGAUAUUAGGAGGAAUACCAGUGGCGUAGGCGCCCAACUGGACCAUUACUGACGCUCAGGCACGAAAGCGUGGGGAGCAAACAGG
rnacentral:rRNA from 1 species